AUAAUGGCAACGUCCACAACUUCGUCAGAAAAACUCUACAAAAAUCGUCUGCUUAAAUUUUUUCUUUGUCAUCACACAUCACUUUACAAUGACUACAUCUAAAUGCCUUUAACAGAAAAAUCGGUAGUUUUAAAAAGGAAAAAUUUUAUAGACGGGGCAAGUUUGCAUAUCUUUGGCACUGUUUGCGUCUAUUAACGGAAGUCUAGAGCCAUUUCAAUAAUAAUACAGAAAUUCAGAACAGUAAAACAAAAAAUUCCAGUGUAGAAACUUCUAUUUGAAAUGUAAGUGGAGAUUUUACGGAGUGAAGAGAUGCCAAAGUUGUAUAAAAAAACUUAUAAGAUAGGAUUUGAUGCCAGUGUCCAAGUUACUGCUUUCACAUUCAGUGUGAUUCUCCUGCAUUCUAAAGCCUGCAAAGCUGACUCAGGUUGGCUUCUAUGAAACCAAUGACAAGAACAAGCAAAAGCAUGGAGGACAUGAGUUUUCUUAAAAGGAUGUGAGGGCAAGAACAAAAUGCCAUACCCAUAAGCAUUGCAUUUGCUUCAUUUAACUAGAUAUUCCCCAUAUGAUUGUAUCCCUAGCGGUUGAUGCCAGCUAAUUUCCUAAGAGACAUCGUGACGUCGCUUCUUGAUACUGGCAUUUUCUGUAACGCAUGUUUUUCUUAAUGGUAAAAUACAUGCUACAGCUUAAGAGAUAUCUUCGACCUUCGCUGGCUCGUGUUGGUGACCUUGCUCUACCCCUUUAAAACUGUGGCCGUUCACAGUUUCUCAGUCAGUCUGCAGUUAGAGAUUGGACGAGGUAGUCUUACCAACGAACACCAGAACUUAAAGUCUACCAUUUUCAAUUAUGAUAUCUUAUUGUAAUAACAGCAGUAAAUAGGUUGGAUGGACUCGUAUAUGCUCUUCCAACCUAUCAACUACUGGUGAUAUACAACAAGAUACAUGGAAUUGUUUUCCCUUCGAGAUGAAGUAUAAUCGAUUGGAAAUUCAUUGAAAUUUGUAAUCGUGAAUUUUUUUAAUGGGGCGUUUUUGUUCCACAUUUGCUCAUAAAGAUGGGCUACAAACGUUUCCAAACAGGGUGCUUUUUCUAACUUUGAAAAUCAAGUUAUUUGAACCCAACGGCAAUGGCUGGUCUCAUCAAGAUAAGACAAAAUGUCUUGCGGCUAAGACGAAAUUUUUUCGUAAUUUAUCAAUUCUACCAGAAAUGACAUGUUGUAGUGUUAAUGCAGCGCAAGCUGGUCUCAUCAAGAUAGGACAAAAUGUCUUGCGGCAAAAAAUUUCAUGAACACAUUGUUGUAAACGAGUGAUAGAGGGCACUGAUUGCGCAAGCCCCACGUUGGGCGCCAACGGAGAGCAGAGCCGUGUGUAAGAUCGCGCGGGACGGUUGUGUUUAGGUACUAGAGCGUGAUCUCGUAUCCUGUCGUGUUGUAUCUUGUAAUACAAGUGUGAAACCGUU
rnacentral:lncRNA from 1 species